CAAAAAACAUAACGCUAAAAUAACGGUUACAUAACGGUAAUUGAAAAUUUUGGCGUUAUGUUCACCGUUAUGUUAGCGUUAUGUUUAGUUUAAAGCUUUAUGCCCAAAACUAUUUGUAUGAUAUUUGUAAAGCGUUAUGUUUAAUCGUUAUGUUUACAAAAUGGCGCGAAUCUAAAGGAUUUUUGCAAUUAGAUUUUUUGUUUAUAAUGUCUCUACUAUUUUGAUUUACUUAUUUAUUUACGUACGGUAUUUACCACUUAUUAAGUAACUUAGCUAUAAAACAGCAUUUUGGUUGUUAAUUAAUAUAUAUUUAUUGUAUAUUUGGUUCUGAAGCCCAUAACUGAUUGAUUUAACGUAUCCUUGUUUUGGGCAGCUUCUGGGAUGUUUCCAAGAUAUUUGUGGAUUUGGGCAAUAAGUUUUAUUAUUUAAAAAAUUCAUUUUAGUUCUGCAGUCUUUUCAUAGCAAUGCAAAGUACUUUUGACUUUAUUAAUGUUAAUUUUUACCAAAGUUAAUUUGUUUAAAUAUUUUCUUGGUUAUGAAAAAUGAUUUAAUAUAAAUAUAUUAAGGUAUUAAACUGCAUGAAUUUUUUAUGUUUAAUUAAACUUUUAUUAUCAUAAAAAUGUUCAAGGUUAGUUUGAGGAAUUAUUUGGAAAUCGGAAAAAUGGAAAAAACAUUAAAUUUGUUUAUGCUGCAUUUAUACUUCUUGUAUUGAAGAUGCAUACCUAAAAAUUUCAAAUUUUUAAUUCACUGUAUAUUGUGCCAAUUUUCGGUCCGUAAAUUGACCAAUAAGUUCCCUGAAAAAGUCUUUAAUAUUUGAAAUUAUUUUGAAAGAAAAAAUUAUGUGUUGUUAAGUUGAAAUUCUGAAGAAAUAUUUUUGGUCCAUAAAACCUACAGGAGGUAUACAUUUCAAGAAAAUAAAACAUUGUCACGCGAGAAGGCUUAGCUCAUCUUAUAUGGAAUGACCCUAUUAUAUGCUUAUAAUAUAUAAACUUUAUACUAUAAUAGUAUGAUUAUUGUAAUAUAUUAUAUGAUAUUUUUAUAAUAAAUUUUUUCUAGUAAUAUAAUAUAAAUUAGUGUAGUAUUAUUAAACUAAUUAAAUUGUGCCAAAUAAUGUUGUUUAAUAAUGUUGUUUAAUACUUGUGUAAUAAUGGUGUUUACCUCUUACCAUCUGACCUGUUUGUUUAUUAUUACUGUUUUUAACAUUAAUUUUGUAUUGCAAGUAUUAAAAAAUGUUAAAUAUACUAUUUGUAAAAUUAAAAUAGUAUAAACUAAUAAUAACUACUUUACUUAUUUCUUCAAUAGUUAAUAGUUGAAAAUAAUAAAGGCUGUUGUUGUCAAAUUUCUUGGGGAAAGAAAAUUGUUAUUGCUUGUAAUAUUGCUGACAUUUUAACUAAUGUGUGAUUCACUACAUGAAUACUUAUGCCAAAGUUUAUAUGGUCCACAAGUUAUCUUUAAUAAAACAGAAUAUGAUGUAAGGAGUUGAAGAGAAAUCGAAAUGGAUGUUCAACCCUUGAUCAGUACAUUUGUUUACUAUUUGCUAGAUUUAACAUAUUCUUGUUUUGGGCGGCUUCUGGGAUGUUAGCAAGAUAUUUGAGACUUUUUGCAAUUGGCUUUAUUAUCUAAAAAAUGCAUUUUUCUUCUGCAAUGCAAAUUACUUUUGAAUUUAUAAAUUUUAAUAAGUUAUUUUAUUCAAUUAUUUUGUAAAUAA